GAGGCAGACGUCUAACUGACUGAGCCACCCAGGGAUCCCUAUACAACUGCAUUUUUAGAAUUACCACUAAUCUACGGGAUCUGAAUUCCAGUCAUGCAAAGAAGAAUCUUUGAAGACAUACUCUUUAAAGGAAGGAACAAAACUCUGAGUGUGGUUUGGGAAAUCUGGAAGGAAGAUAUCCUCACCCACGAAGAGGAUCUGAAUUCUACUCAUGCAAAAAAGAAUCUUCCAAGAGACAUUCUUCAAGGAAGGAACAAAACCCUGAGUGUGGAUUUGGAACCAUGCCCCAUGAAGUUAAUGAGGCUAAAACUGUCACCAGUAAGACCCCCACUGACCCUCCCUCUUAUUUAAGGAAUGCUAAUCUUAUCUUUAGGACAAGACAAAAGCUCUGGCCAACAUAGAGCAGUUUGAGCUUCCUGGAUAGAUUCACACCUAAGAGGUGGACCGUGAAGUGUCAGACACCUGUAGUUCAUUAUAAUAAAAU